CUUUUGCCUUCAGAGGCGGAGGCCGUCGCAGGUAUUCUUUCCCCUCGAUCUCCAUCAAAAUCUGUGCACGGGGGGCAGAGAGAGGAGUGUAGGAAUCAUACCUGGGGCGUGUCGGCCUUGGAGUCUGCCGCUGGGGCGACUUCUGGUUCUGUUGUGGUGUCGAGACCCGACCAUCGGUCGAGGGCCUGCUGGGGGCAGCGGGUUCCCGACCCUUCCUCCGCUUCUCCUUCGGGCCUCUGGGUUCGGCCAAGCGUCGGUCGGAAGCUCCUUCAUCCGUGCGCAUGUACUUGUAUGCGCGUUCCAGC
rnacentral:lncRNA from 1 species